GUGCUCACGUCAGCAGCACAGAUACUAAAAUUGGAAGGAUACAGAGAAGAUUAGCAUGGCCCCUGUGUGAGGAUGACGUACAAAUUCUCGAAGCGUUCCAUGUUAAA
rnacentral:snRNA from 1 species